AUUGAACGCUGGCGGCAGGCCUAACACAUGCAAGUCGAGCGGUAGAGAGAAGCUUGCUUCUCUUGAGAGCGGCGGACGGGUGAGUAAUGCCUAGGAAUCUGCCUGGUAGUGGGGGAUAACGUUCGGAAACGGACGCUAAUACCGCAUACGUCCUACGGGAGAAAGCAGGGGACCUUCGGGCCUUGCGCUAUCAGAUGAGCCUAGGUCGGAUUAGCUAGUUGGUGGGGUAAUGGCUCACCAAGGCGACGAUCCGUAACUGGUCUGAGAGGAUGAUCAGUCACACUGGAACUGAGACACGGUCCAGACUCCUACGGGAGGCAGCAGUGGGGAAUAUUGGACAAUGGGCGAAAGCCUGAUCCAGCCAUGCCGCGUGUGUGAAGAAGGUCUUCGGAUUGUAAAGCACUUUAAGUUGGGAGGAAGGGCAGUUACCUAAUACGUGAUUGUUUUGACGUUACCGACAGAA
rnacentral:rRNA from 1 species